rfam:Dipodomys ordii contig_40457, whole genome shotgun sequence.
GGUGGCUCUGUGGUAGAGUGCUUGCUUUGCAUGCAGGAGGCCCUAGGUUCAUUUCCUUGGCACCA